rnacentral:rRNA from 1 species
CAGCCGCCACGGGAAUACAGAGGGUGCGAGCGUUAAUCGGAUUUACUGGGCGUAAAGCGUGCGUAGGCGGCUUUUUAAGUCGGAUGUGAAAUCCCUGAGCUUAACUUAGGAAUUGCAUUCGAUACUGGGAAGCUAGAGUAUGGGAGAGGAUGGUAGAAUUCCAGGUGUAGCGGUGAAAUGCGUAGAGAUCUGGAGGAAUACCGAUGGCGAAGGCAGCCAUCUGGCCUAAUACUGACGCUGAGGUACGAAAGCAUGGGGAGCAAACAGGAUUAGAGACCCCUGUAGUCCCUGUCUCUUAUAU